UCCGAAGAUACUUUUCAAGAAGUUCCAGAAAAGUGUGCAGAUUCAGACUCGAGUGAAGCUGAGGGGAGUUGUUCGCAAGACAGUGGUGUAUUUGACACAGCGCUUUAACAAAAUAGUGUUUUUACUGGAGAGGUUCAGAUUUAGACUUAAUUUAUACCGCUACCGUUACCAUUAACCAAUUAGAUGCAUUUAAUCUACCCGAUUAACCAAUCAAAUGUGUAUCAACUUUGGCAGAGCGUAGUUGUAGUGGAAUUGGAGAUCAAACUACCCUGGAUUCUUUGAUUAAACCGCGCCAAUCACAAAACAGAAUUAUUGGUUUUAGUACAG
rnacentral:lncRNA from 1 species